rnacentral:rRNA from 1 species
AGAGUUUGAUCAUGGCUCAGAAUGAACGCUGGCGGCAUGCCUAACACAUGCAAGUCGAACGAGACCUUCGGGUCUAGUGGCGCACGGGUGCGUAACGCGUGGGAAUCUGCCCUUGGGUUCGGAAUAACAGUGAGAAAUUACUGCUAAUACCGGAUAAUGACGUAAGUCCAAAGAUUUAUCGCCCAAGGAUGAGCCCGCGUAAGAUUAGGUAGUUGGUGGGGUAAAGGCCUACCAAGCCGACGAUCUUUAGCUGGUCUGAGAGGAUGAUCAGCCACACUGGGACUGAGACACGGCCCAGACUCCUACGGGAGGCAGCAGUGGGGAAUAUUGGACAAUGGGCGAAAGCCUGAUCCAGCAAUGCCGCGUGAGUGAUGAAGGCCUUAGGGUUGUAAAGCUCUUUUACCCGGGAAGAUAAUGACUGUACCGGGAGAAUAAGCCCCGGCUAACUCCGUGCCAGCAGCCGCGGUAAUACGGAGGGGGCUAGCGUUAUUCGGAAUUACUGGGCGUAAAGCGCACGUAGGCGGCUAUUCAAGUCAGAGGUGAAAGCCCGGAGCUCAACUUCGGAACUGCCUUUGAAACUAGAUAGCUAGAAUCACGGAG